CAGGCACUCUGGGUGACUGAACACCUACUCCUCCAGUCACUGAUAUUCUGAGAGUGCUUACCAUUUACCAGCUGCGGGCUUCCAUGAGCCUCUGAGCCCCACGCCUCAUCUCCACACCUGCACCAAUUGCUGAUAACGGCCCCCUUGCGCUGGGUGCUGCUCUGGGCCAGGUACGCAGCCUGAAGCCAGGCCGGAGAUUACAAGCCUCAUGCUGGUGCCCAUAUGGACCCCAGAGCCUGCACCCAGCCGGAGCCACCCCAGCUAAACCCCAAACCCCAGACAGCUAAUCGAGACCCUCUUGUCUGGGAAAGGGGAAGCUACGGAGGCUUCCAAUCCCAUUGUGCCUCAUGGGAAAAGAAGUGAAUGGCAUGCAUUCUUGGGGUGCUAAGGACAUGGGGAGAGUGACUGGGACCAGACUGAAGCAACAAACAAAUGUUUCCAGAAGCUAUUUUGUGUUCUUUAUCUAUUUGUUUGUUGUCAUUAUACUACCAAAACAAACGGCAUUUUACGACCAUUUGUUGGGUGCUUAUCCUGAGCCAGGCUGAGCCUUUACUCUCUUGACCUAGUUAGUCUUCAUUCAACCUUGGAAGACGGGACAUGGGGCUCAGAGACAGGAAGAGUCUCACCUGAGGUCA